rnacentral:rRNA from 1 species
CCUACGGGGGGCAGCAGUGAGGAAUAUUGGUCAAUGGACGAGAGUCUGAACCAGCCAAGUAGCGUGAAGGAUGACUGCCCUAUGGGUUGUAAACUUCUUUUAUAUGGGAAUAAAAUGUUCCACGUGUGGGAUUUUGUAUGUACCAUAUGAAUAAGGAUCGGCUAACUCCGUGCCAGCAGCCGCAGUAAUACGGAGGAUCCGAGCGUUAUCCGGAUUUAUUGGGUUUAACGGGAGCGUAGGUGGAUUGUUAAGUCAGUUGUGAAAGUUUGCGGCUCAACCGUAAAAUUGCAGUUGAAACUGGCAGUCUUGAGUACAGUAGAGGUGGGCGGAAUUCGUGGUGUAGCGGUGAAAUGCUUAGAUAUCACGAAGAACUCCGAUUGCGAAGGCAGUUCACUGGACUGCAACUGACACUGAGGCUCGAAAGUGUGGGUAUCAAACAGGAUUAGAUACCCUUGUAGUC